AACGUAGGUGGCAAGCGUUAUCCGGAUUUACUGGGCGUAAAGCGCACGUAGGCGGCUUUUUAAGUCCGGGGUGAAAUCCUGGAGCUCAACUCCAGAACUGCCUUUGAUACUGAGAAGCUUGAGUCCGGGAGAGGUGAGUGGAACUGCGAGUGUAGAGGUGAAAUUCGUAGAUAUUCGCAAGAACACCAGUGGCGAAGGCGGCUUACUGGUCCGGUUCUGACGCUGAGGCGCGAAAGCGUGGGGAGCAAACAGG
rnacentral:rRNA from 1 species